rnacentral:rRNA from 1 species
GUACGGGGGGAGGCAAGCGUUGUUCGGAUUCAUUGGGCGUAAAGGGUGCGUAGGCGGCGCGGUAAGUCGGGUGUGAAAUCUCGGGGCUUAACUCCGAAACUGCAUUCGAUACUGCCGUGCUUGAGGACUGGAGAGGAGACUGGAAUUUACGGUGUAGCGGUGAAAUGCGCAGAUAUCAGGAGGAACACCGAUGGCGAAGGCAGGUCUCUGGGCCACUACUGACGCUGAGAAGCGAAAGCAUGGGGAGCGAACAGG